rnacentral:rRNA from 1 species
GACGAACGCUGGCGGCGUGCCUAAUACAUGCAAGUUGAGCGCUGAAGGUUGGUACUUGUACCAACUGGAUGAGCAGCGAACGGGUGAGUAACGCGUGGGGAAUCUGCCUUUGAGCGGGGGACAACAUUUGGAAACGAAUGCUAAUACCGCAUAAAAACUUUAAACACAAGUUUUAAGUUUGAAAGAUGCAAUUGCAUCACUCAAAGAUGAUCCCGCGUUGUAUUAGCUAGUUGGUGAGGUAAAGGCUCACCAAGGCGAUGAUACAUAGCCGACCUGAGAGGGUGAGCGGCCACAUUGGGACUGAGACACGGCCCAAACUCCUACGGGAGGCAGCAGUAGGGAAUCUUCGGCAAUGGACGAAAGUCUGACCGAGCAACGCCGCGGGAGUGAAGAAGGGUGUCGGAUCGUAAAACUCUGUUGGUAGAGAAGAAAGUUGGUGAGAGUGGAAAGCUCAUCAAGUGACGGUAACUACCCAGAAAGGGACGGCUAACUACGUG